AGUGAACGCUGGCGGCAGGCCUAAUACAUGCAAGUCGAACGGCAGCACAGUGGAGCUUGCUCCAUGGGUGGCGAGUGGCGGACGGGUGAGGAAUACAUGGGAAUCUGCCCAGUCGUGGGGGAUAACGUAGGGAAACUUACGCUAAUACCGCAUGCGCCCUUCGGGGGAAAGCCGGGGACCUUCGGGCCUGGCGCGAUUGGAUGAGCCCAUGUUCGAUUAGCUAGUUGGCGGGGUAAAGGCCCACCAAGGCGACGAUCGAUAGCUGGUCUGAGAGGAUGAUCAGCCACCCUGGGACUGAGACACGGCCCAGACUCCUACGGGAGGUAGCAGUAGGGAAUAUUGGACAAUGGGCGCAAGCCUGAUCCAGCCAUGCCGCGUGAGUGAAGAAGGCCCUCGGGUUGUAAAGCUCUUUUGUCCGGGAAGAAAAGCAUCGGGCUAAUACCUCGGUGUUCUGACGGUACCGGAAGAAUAAGCACCGGCUAACUUCGUG
rnacentral:rRNA from 1 species